AGAGCAUCUGUCUCUCUCUCUCUCGCUCACAUACAUACAGUCAUUGCUCCCUCCCUCCCCACACACACGCUCGAGCCUUGCAAGUGCAUCCCCCCGAAGCUCGAGCAACGCUGUCCCACGAGCAGACGAUUUCAGCACCUAUUUCAGCACAGGACAGCAUCCUGCACCGUCUCAUGGCAACAUGGCGACUGAGGCCUUGGAGUCGAUGGCAGAGCUGUGCUGAUUUUCUCUGGUGGUCUGCCAGCAGUCUUGUCCAAGUUCCAUCAAUCAUGCGCAUGCACACACGCAAGUACACACACACACACACACACACACACACACACACACACACUGGUGACACAUCUCAUGUCCAAAGCCCAUCAAUUAUCCAUGACAUAUUUAAUGUGAACAGGCUGCUGCAGUUUGUUACCAUCAGCCACUGGAGUCUCAAAUGAACAGCACAUUUUACACACACACACACACACACACACAUACACACACACACACACACACACACACACACACACAGUCUCAUAUAGGCCUGAGUCAGUUGCCUAGAACAAUGUUUCCUAAAUGUUGAGUCAAGACUAAAUGCUGAGUUGUUUCCUAUUAGACCACAACUGAAGACUAGUUUGAUUAAAUAGAACUCUGAGAUAAAAUUACAAUGGCUGUUCUGUGGUCAUAAUAAUAAUAUCUUGUUUGUUAUAUCUUGCAAUUUGACAAGAAUUGCAGGGUACUACAUCCAGAGGAAAACAGUCAUACCAAGCUGGUUGUUGAGAAGGAAAGGGUGCCUUCUGUACAAGGUCCUUGUAUGCUGACUGUCCGGGAAUAUUUCCCACACAGUGUGUGUGGGGGGGCUUGUAUACCCUGCUGACAGGGUCCACACCAUGUCUGAGACAACACUGAGGCACACUGUCACACUGAUGAACUGAAGAGAGGACCACAGUAAUACACAGGCGAGAGAGAGAGAGACAGACAGACAGACCGAGUGAGAGGAAGAGAGACCCAGACAGACAGACAGACUGAAGUAGAUAGAGAGCUUACAGAGAGGAAGAAAGAGGAGAGAUGGAGGUGGGGCCAAUGAAAAGGGAUGAAAGGAGAUAAGCAUGGAGGGAGAGAGCGAGCCAUACAGUGAGACAGAAAACAGAAGCGAUGUGUAAUGAUCUAGUAAUUGUUCUCUCCAAUCAGUCCCCUCUAAGGAAUAAUGUAAUUUAUGUUUGUGUGUGUGUGUGUGUGUAUGACCAUGCAUAUGUGAAUGCGUGCAGAGUUACUGUUGUGUAACUAGCCUGUUUUUUUUCAUUUGUAACAUUUUAACAAGAAAAGAAAAGUAUUGCACAUUUGGUUUCUUCUGUAAGUAAUCUGUGUUGUUGUUUCCAAGCAGCCUGUUCCUCUUGAAUGAUACAGUAGGGCAAAAUGUUGAUUUCUGCCUAAAUAGACAUACCCAAACAUAAUUAUAUAAGGGCACAAGGCGAGACUCAAAUGCAGACACAGGAGGCAGAUGGAUGAGCUCCGAUAUUUAUUACACCAAAAGGGGUGGGUAAAAGGCAGGUCGGGGACAGGCGAGAGUUCAUAAACCAGGUCAGAGUCAAAACAGUACAUUUUACAUUUACAUUUAAGUCAUUUAGCAGACGCUCUUAUCCAGAGCGACUUACAAAUUGGUGCAUUCACCUUAUGAUAUCCAGUGGGACAACCACUUUACAAUAGUGCAUCUAAAUCUUUUAAGGGGGGGGGGGGUUAGAAGGAUUACUUUAUCCUAUCCCAGGUAUUCCUGUACCAGGGGAUAGGCAGUCUCGAGGUCAGAACAGGCAGAGUGGUCAGGCAGGCGGAUUCGGCGUCAGGACAGGCAAGGGUCAAAACCAGGAGGGCUAGGAAAAAACAGAGACUGGGAAAAAUAGGAGCUAGGAGAAACAGAGACAGGAAACAGGGAUAAAUACACUGGGGACUAAUGGGGAAACAGGAGACACCUGCAGGUGGGUGGAGACAAUCACCAAGACAGGUGAAACAGAUCAGGGCGUGAC
ensembl:lncRNA